rnacentral:rRNA from 1 species
UGGGGAAUCUUGCACAAUGGGCGAAAGCCUGAUGCAGCAACGCCGCGUGCGGGAAGACAGCCCUAGGGUUGUAAACCGCUUUCAGCAGGGAAGAAACUGACGGUACCUGCAGAAGAAGGUGCGGCCAACUACGUGCCAGCAGCCGCGGUAACACGUAGGCAUCAAGCGUUAUCCGGAUUCAUUGGGCGUAAAGAGCUCGUAGGCGGUUCGGUAAGUCGGGUGUGAAAACUCUAGGCUCAACCUAGAGAGGCCACUCGAUACUGCUGUGACUAGAGUGCGGUAGGGGAGCGGGGAAUUCCUGGUGUAGCGGUGAAAUGCGCAGAUAUCAGGAGGAACACCGGUGGCGAAGGCGCCGCUCUGGGCCGUAACUGACGCUGAGGAGCGAAAGCAUGGGUAGCAAACAGGAUUAGAUACCCCCGUAGUCC